UUGUAAGUUUCCUGAGGCUUCCGUCACCAUGUGAAACUUAAAGAAAAUGGACUUUACAUUGGUAAAGGUGAAACAACAUACAAAGAGAACUGAAACUUGAGAUGGUACUUGUAUGCCUGAGAGACCAAAAUGCUGAUUCAGUUUACCUUCCUGGAAACUGUAAAACCAACCAAUCAGAGGAUCAGGUUAUUGAGAAGAAGAAACUUGUCCAACUCCCUAUUAUACAAUUAAUUAACUGAAGUGAAACAACAAAAGGAAGAAAAAGCAAAGCAAGAAGCCUGUACCCAAAAUAGAGCAAGGGAAAAAAAUGUAUAAGGGGAGCAGGCAGAUGGGGAGAGGGCCUUCAGUGUUUCAAGCCUAAAGCAUACCACAAAUGAAACUGUUAAAUUUAAUUUUUAUUCCCUCUACAGAAAACACUAGCGAAACUUUGAGCCAAAAAUACAUGCUGACUUUAUACAGUGUAAAGAGUUUUUAAAAUUAUGUGUAAUACUAGACAAAAUUAUUUAAAGUCAAUAAAUUUUUCUUCAAGGAA